rnacentral:rRNA from 1 species
AACCUUUACACUGCACGACAGUGCGAUAGGGGGACUCCGAGUGUGAGGGCAUAUAGCCCUCGCUUUUCUGUACCGUAAGGUGGUACAGGAACAAGGACUGGGCAAGACCGGUGCCAGCCGCCGCGGUAAUACCGGCAGUCCGAGUGAUGGCCGAUCUUAUUGGGCCUAAAGCGUCCGUAGCUGGCCGCACAAGUCCAUCGGAAAAUCCACCCGCUCAACGGGUGGGCGUCCGGUGGAAACUGUGUGGCUUGGGACCGGAAGGCGCGACGGGUACGUCCGGGGUAGGAGUGAAAUCCCGUAAUCCUGGACGGACCGCCGAUGGCGAAAGCACGUCGCGAGAACGGAUCCGACAGUGAGGGACGAAAGCUAGGGUCUCGAACCGGAUUAGAUACCCGGGUAGUCCUAGCCGUAAACAAUGCCUGCUAGGUGUGGCUCCCACUACGAGUGGGUGCUGUGCCGUAGGGAAGCCGCUAAGCAGGCCGCCUGGGAAGUACGUCCGCAAGGAUGAAACUUAA